rnacentral:rRNA from 1 species
CGAAGGACCCGAGUCGUUAUCCGGAUUUAUUGGGUUUAAAGGGUGCGUAGGCGGAUUAGUAAGUCAGUGGUGAAAGCCCAUCGCUUAACGGUGGAACUGCCAUUGAUACUGCUAGUCUUGAGUAUGGUUGAGGUGGGCGGAAUGUGUCAUGUAGCGGUGAAAUGCUUAGAUAUGACCCAGAACACCAAUUGCGAAGGCAGCUCGCUAAGCCAUAACUGACGCUGAUGCACGAAAGCGUGGGGAGCAAACAGGAUUAGAUACCCUGGUAGUCCACGCCCUAAACUAUGAUCACUCGUUGUUGGCGAUACACAGUCAGCGACUAAGGGAAACCAUUAAGUGAUCCACCUGGGGAGUACGACCGCAAGGUUG